rnacentral:snRNA from 1 species
AGCUUUGCGCAGUGGCAGUAUCGUAGCCAAUGAGGUUUAUCCGAGGCGCGAUUAUUGCUAUCAUCUCUUUGAGCCUCAAUUUAAUCAAGUGUAACAUAGGUAUAGUUACACUUAGCUGAUAAAACUUUAAGAAAUAAAUAAGAUGAAAUUUA